rnacentral:lncRNA from 1 species
AGGAAAUCCAAUCUCUCCCACUCCAGCCCGCCUACUCAUUGAACAUGGCUGCUAUCUCUGUCUUCUGGAAACACGGCUCCAAUCCUGCAACAACUCUAUACAAGAGCUCCCAGUGAAAGCUUUCACUAGACCUUGAUGGCACUAUGGUCAUUAUCUUGUCAAAACUGUGGUGGAUUUGAAGAGCUAGUGAUGAAGAAUGGAGGUUUCCUGUCCUAGAAAUAACCAAAGGCCCAGGCUUGGAGGUGGCAGAAAAAGUGGCACUUAAGUUACUAGCCCAGUAUUUGGAAUUUGCCAAAGCUAUAUUCCUCAGAAUUUACUUCAAGAGCUCCUUUGUAUCGGCGGAGAAUGAAGAACGGAGAAGAGGAGGAGGAGGUUGAAAGAAACUUAAGAGAUGUGGCAACUAAUUGCAACGUGUAGAUUGUAUUUAGCUCAUGAUUCACACAAACUAGAUAUUUGUUAUUAAAGAAUUAUGGUUGUUUUUGGUGUGA